UAGGGGUGGUGAAAAAGACUCUUUUCUUCUAAUUGGUAGAACAAAUUUUUUUCUAAGAUUCCUAAAGCAGAAGACCUAGAAAUGUCUGAGCAAGACUCAUUUUUUUUUAGCACCUAAAAUUGGAGUCCUGAGUGAACCAGGGGAAGAAAGAAUAAUGAAGUGCUCGAGAGUUUUCCUAGUGAUCCUGUGGCUUCAGCUCACCUGGAUGAGGAGUCAGCAGAACGACGUGAAGCAGGAUUCUGUAUCUCUGACGGUUUUCGAGGGAAACACUGCCUCUCUGAGCUGUAAUUACAGUGACAGUGCUUCCCAGUACUUCACGUGGUACAGACAGUAUUCCGGGAAGGGCCCCGAGUUGCUGAUGUACAUGUACUCAGAUGGUGAAAAAGAAGAAGGAAGAUUUAAAGGGCUGCUCACUAAAGCAAGCCGAUCUGUCUCCCUGUUCAUCAGAGACUCCCAGCACAGUGACUCGGCUACCUACCUCUGUGCAGUGAGCACACAGUGCUCCCCUGGCCCCUGCUGCCUGUACCCAAACCCGCUGGGGCCCCAGCAAGGCCUGAUGUAGAGCCUAGGCUGCAGGGUAAAGAGAUUCUGCUUGCUCUCUAGAUGCAAAUGGGAAUUUAGAGCAUUCGCCAUAACCAUAGGAUGUCCUGUACCCACAGGCAGGGCAAGGGAGCACGGAAGGGGUUCAGAUUUCAUAAGAAGGAUCUCUGAGCAAGUACCUUAAAGGAUUCUAGACACUGAGGAGUUUUGUUAUGGUGAUCAAAGACCUGCAUGGAUCAAUUAUUGAAAACAUAUGGUAUUGAAGGGGGCACCUGGGUGGCUCAGUUGUUUAAGCAUCUGACUUUGUCUCAGGUC